UAUGAAGAAAACUUUGUCCAGUUCUGCUACUGAAUGAAAGUGGUGAUAACGA
rnacentral:snoRNA from 1 species